rnacentral:rRNA from 1 species
AGAGUUUGAUCCUGGCUCAGGAUGAACGCUAGCGAUAGGCUUAACACAUGCAAGUCGAGGGGCAGCAUUAUUUUAGCUUGCUAAGAUAGAUGGCGACCGGCGCACGGGUGCGUAACGCGUAUGCAACCUGCCUGUAAUUAGGGAAUAACCCGGUGAAAGUCGGACUAAUACCCUAUAUUCUUCUUUUUCCGCAUGGAGAAGGACGGAAAGAUUUAUUGAUUACAGAUGGGCAUGCGUCCCAUUAGCUAGUUGGUAAGGUAACGGCUUACCAAGGCAACGAUGGGUAGGGGGACUGAGAGGUUGACCCCCCACACUGGUACUGAGACACGGACCAGACUCCUACGGGAGGCAGCAGUGAGGAAUAUUGGUCAAUGGGCGAGAGCCUGAACCAGCCAAGUCGCGUGAAGGACGACGGUUCUAUGGAUUGUAAACUUCUUUUGUAGAGGAAUAAUGGCAGCUACGUGUAGCUGAGAUGCAUGUACUCUACGAAUAAGUAUCGGCUAACUCCGUGCCAGCAGCCGCGGUAAUACGGAGGAUACGAGCGUUAUCCGGAAUUAUUGGGUUUAAAGGGUGCGUAGGUGGCGUAUUAAGUCAGUGGUGAAAAGCUGCAGCUCAACUGUAGUCUUGCCGUUGAAACUGAUAUGCUAGAGAGGAGACGAGGUAUGCGGAAUGUGUGGUGUAGCGGUGAAAUGCAUAGAUAUCACACAGAACGCCGAUUGCGAAGGCAGCGUACCAGGCUCCGUCUGACACUGAAGCACGAAAGCGUGGGGAUCAAACAGGAUUAGAUACCCUGGUAGUCCACGCAGUAAACGAUGAAUACUAGAUUUUUGCGAUAUAGUGUAAGAGUCUAAGCGAAAGCGAUAAGUAUUCCACCUGGGGAGUACGCCGGCAACGGUGAAACUCAAAGGAAUUGACGGGGGCCCG